rnacentral:rRNA from 1 species
CCGCUGAGAGAUGGCUUCGCGCCCGAUUAGGCAGUUGGUGAGGUAACGGCCCACCCAACCUACGAUCGGUAUCCGGACUGAGAGGCCGAUCGGCCACAUUGGGACUGAGACACGGCCCAAACUCCUACGGGAGGCAGCACUGGGGGAUAUUGCGCAACGGGGGAAACCCUGAUGCACCGACGCCGCGUGAGGGAAGAAGGUUUUCAGACUGUAAACCUCUGUCUUCCCGGACGAUCAUGACGGCACCCGAGGACGACGCCACAUCUAACUACGUGCCGGCCGCCGCGGCAAAACGUAGGUGGCAAGCGGUUCUCCGGAAUCUCUGGGUGUAUAGGGAGCGCGAGCGGGACGCGCAAGUCACAUGUGAAAUGUAUGGGCUCAACCCAUAAAUUGCGUUUGAUACUAUUGUUCUUGAGUGGAGUAGAGGCAGGCGGAAUUCCCGGUGUAGCGGUGGAAUGCGUAGAUAUCGGGAGGAAUACCAGUGGCGAAGGCGGCCUGCUGGGCUCUAACUGACACUGAGGCUCGAAAGCGUGGGUAGCAAACAGGAUUAGAUACCCUGGUAGUCCACGCUGUAAACGAUGAUUACUAGGUGUGGGGGGACUGACCCCUUCCGUGCCGUAGUUAACACAAUAAGCAUUCCACCUGGGGAGUACGACCGCAAGGUUGAAACUCAAAGGAAUUGACGGGGGCCCGCACAAGCAGUGGAGUAUGUGGAUUAAUUCGACGCAACGCGAAGAGCCUUACCAGGUAUUGACAUUGAGCGCAUACCGUGGAAACACGGGAAGUCCUUCGGGACGCUCAAACAGGUGGUGCAUGGUUGUCGUCAGCUCGUGUCGUGAGAUGUUGGGUUAAGUCCCGCAACGAGCGCAACCCUUACCGAUAGUUACUACGAAAGAGGACUCUAUCGGGACUGCCGUUGACAAAACGGAGGAAGGUGGGGAUGACGUCAAAUCAUCAUGCCCUUUAUGAUCUGGGCUUCACACGUACUACAAUGGUCGCCAACAAUAGGAACCGAAAGCGCGAGCUGGAGGGAAACCAUUAAAAGCGAUCUCAGUUCGGAUUGCAGGCUGCAACUCGCCUGCAUGAAGUCGGAAUUGCUAGUAAUCGCGGAUCAGCAUGCCGCGGUGAAUAAAAUCCUCGGGCCUUGCACUCACCGCCCGUCA